UCGAGCGGCAGCGCGGGGGCAACCCUGGCGGCGAGCGGCGAACGGGUGAGUAAUGUAUCGGAACGUACCCAGUCGUGGGGGAUAACUAUCCGAAAGGAUAGCUAAUACCGCAUACGUCCUGAGGGAGAAAGCGGGGGACCGUAAGGCCUCGCGCGAUUGGAGCGGCCGAUAUCGGAUUAGCUAGUUGGUGAGGUAAAGGCUCACCAAGGCGACGAUCCGUAGCUGGUCUGAGAGGACGACCAGCCACACUGGAACUGAGACACGGUCCAGACUCCUACGGGAGGCAGCAGUGGGGAAUUUUGGACAAUGGGGGCAACCCUGAUCCAGCCAUUCCGCGUGAGUGAAGAAGGCCUUCGGGUUGUAAAGCUCUUUCAGCAGGAACGAAACGGUGGUCCUUAAUACGGGCUACUAAUGACGGUACCUGAAGAAGAAGCACCGGCUAACUACGUGCCAGCAGCCGCGGUAAUACGUAGGGUGCGAGCGUUAAUCGGAAUUACUGGGCGUAAAGCGUGCGCAGGCGGUUCUAUAAGACAGAUGUGAAAUCCCCGGGCUUAACCUGGGAACUGCGUUUGUGACUGUAGGACUCGAGUGUGGCAGAGGGGGGUGGAAUUCCACGUGUAGCAGUGAAAUGCGUAGAGAUGUGGAGGAACACCGAUGGCGAAGGCAGCCCCCUGGGUCAACACUGACGCUCAUG
rnacentral:rRNA from 1 species